AUCUUUCAUAUUCAUCCCUCAUUCUCUCUCUAGGUACCGCACCAUAGUCUUUCAAAGGAGAAAAGGAUCAAAUAACAGGUAGAAAUGGCAGAAACUAAGAGAAUUGGUAUGGUGAUUCUUUUUAUUGCAGUGGUGAUAUCGUCUUUAUGUGUUGACGAAGCUUAUGGACUAUUCGAGUGUUAUAAAAAUUGCAUGCACGAAUGUAUUGCCGAAUAUUGGGAUUGCGUUGUCGGCUGCAACUACCAUUGUAACAUACCGAUGAGGGAAAAGACUGGAAUGCCGGGAAAACCACGCAUCUGAGCACCCUAUGAUUAUUGAUGUGCGAAGGACAUUUUAUUACAAAUAGGAGAUAAGCGUGGAGACAAAAUACAAUAUACAAAACAUUCAAAAAUUAUCUUUUCGAUGUAAUCGUUUUUCUCUUAUUUGAUAUGUACAUCAAUAUAUAAAAAUGUCUAUGUGUUUACAUGAAAAUGUGGGUUUUUCUAAUUGAUCCAUAAAAAAUUAUGAACUAUGUGACUUUGGAUA